UACGUAGGGGGCUAGCGUUGUCCGGAAUCAUUGGGCGUAAAGAGCGUGUAGGCGGCUUGGUAAGUCCGCUGUGAAAGUCCAGGGCUCAACCCUGGAAUGCCAGUGGAUACUGUCAAGCUAGAGUCCGGAAGAGGCGAGUGGAAUUCCUGGUGUAGCGGUGAAAUGCGCAGAUAUCAGGAGGAACACCAAUGGCGAAGGCAGCUCGCUGGGACGGUACUGACGCUGAGACGCGAAAGCGUGGGGGAGCAAACAGG
rnacentral:rRNA from 1 species